AGUGAACGCUGGCGGUAGGCCUAACACAUGCAAGUCGAACGGCAGCACAGUAAGAGCUUGCUCUUACGGGUGACGAGUGGCGGACGGGUGAGGAAUACAUCGGAAUCUACUUUUUCGUGGGGGAUAACGUAGGGAAACUUACGCUAAUACCGCAUACGACCUACGGGUGAAAGCAGGGGAUCUUCGGACCUUGCGCGAUCGAAUGAGCCGAUGUCGGAUUAGCUAGUUGGCGGGGUAAAGGCCCACCAAGGCGACGAUCCGUAGCUGGUCUGAGAGGAUGAUCAGCCACACUGGAACUGAGACACGGUCCAGACUCCUACGGGAGGCAGCAGUGGGGAACAUUGGACAAUGGGCGCAAGCCUGAUCCAGCCAUACCGCGUGGGUGAAGAAGGCCUUCGGGUUGUAAAGCCCUUUUGUUGGGAAAGAAAAGCAGCAGGUUAAUACCCCGCUGUUCUGACGGUACCCAAAGAAUAAGCACCGGCUAACUUCGUG
rnacentral:rRNA from 1 species